GGCCUGCCCACUGAUUUAUUUUAAAGGGCCGCGGUAUACUGACCGUGCGAAGGUAGCAUAAUCAUUAGUCUUUUAAUUGAAGGCUUGUAUGAAUGGUUGGACAAAAAGCAAACUGUCUCAGUUGUAAUAAUUGAAUUUAACUUUUGAGUGAAAAGGCUUAAAUAAGUUAGGGGGACGAUAAGACCCUAUAAAGCUUGACAAUAAGCCGUUUAUAUUAUAAAUUGUUAGUAUAACUUGAUUUUAAAUGGUGUUUGUUGCGUUGGGGCGACGAGAAUAUAAAAGAUAACUGUUCUUAUAAUAUUUAAUAACAGAAAUAGCUGGAAAAUUAAUGAUCCUUUCUUUAAGAUCAUAAGAUUAAGUUACUUUAGGGAUAACAGCGUAAUCUUCCUUGAGAGUUCAUAUCGACAGGAAGGGUUGCGACCUCGAUGUUGAAUUAAGGUAUCCUUAUAAUGCAGCAGUUAUAAAGG
rnacentral:rRNA from 1 species